rnacentral:ncRNA from 1 species
CGUCGGUGACGACACCGGCGCCCCGGAGACGGCCGUCGGGGACGGCCCCG